GAUGAACGCUGGCGGCGCGCCUAACACAUGCAAGUCGAACGAAGCAAUUGAAUGGAAGCCUUCGGGUGGAAGAUCGAUUGACUGAGUGGCGGACGGGUGAGUAACGCGUGGGGAACCUGCCCUGUACAGGGGGACAACGGUUGGAAACGACCGCUAAUACCCCGUAAGCGCCCAUCUUCGCAUGAAGAUGAGUGAAAAGCGAAUGCGGUAUGGGAUGGCCCCGCGUCCGAUUAGAUAGUUGGUAGGGUAAGAGCCUACCAAGUCAACGAUCGGUAGCCGGCCUGAGAGGGCGGACGGCCACAUUGGGACUGAGACACGGCCCAGACUCCUGCGGGAGGCAGCAGUGGGGAAUCUUGCACAAUGGGGGAAACCCUGAUGCAGCGACGCCGCGUGAAGGAAGAAGUAUCUCGGUAUGUAAACUUCUAUCAGCAGGGAAGAAAGUGACGGUACCUGACUAAGAAGCCCCGGCUAACUACGUGCCAGCAGCCGCGGUAAAAC
rnacentral:rRNA from 1 species